rnacentral:snoRNA from 1 species
UGAUGGUUGAAAUAUGAUGAGUAUGUAAAAUGUUGAUUAAGAUGAAAAACAAUAAGAUCCAACUCUGAUUUCAUCAAAGA